rnacentral:tRNA from 4 species
AGGCGCGUAGCUCAGUGGUAGAGCACCACGUUGACAUCGUGGGGGUCGGUGGUUCAAUCCCACUCGCGCCUACCA